ACGCUUCCGAGGAGUCCCGCAAUAGAACGAAACGGCCGUCCAGUGU
rnacentral:hammerhead_ribozyme from 1 species